rnacentral:rRNA from 1 species
GAUGAACGCUGGCGGCGUGCCUAAUACAUGCAAGUCGAGCGAACGGACGAGAAGCUUGCUUCUCUGAUGUUAGCGGCGGACGGGUGAGUAACACGUGGAUAACCUACCUAUAAGACUGGGAUAACUUCGGGAAACCGGAGCUAAUACCGGAUGAUAUUUUGAACCGCAUGGUUCAAAAGUGAAAGACGGUCUUGCUGUCACUUAUAGAUGGAUCCGCGCUGCAUUAGCUAGUUGGUAAGGUAACGGCCUACCAAGGCAACGAUGCAUAGCCGACCUGAGAGGGUGAUCGGCCACACUGGAACUGAGACACGGUCCAGACUCCUACGGGAGGCAGCAGUAGGGAAUCUUCCGCAAUGGGCGAAAGCCUGACGGAGCAACGCCGCGUGAGUGAUGAAGGUCUUCGGAUCGUAAAACCCUGUUAUUAGGGAAGAACAUAUGUGUAAGUAACUGUGCACAUCUUGACGGUACCUAAUCAGAAAGCCACGGCUAACUACGUG